UACAGAGGUGCAAGCGUUGUCCGGAAUUAUUGGGCGUAAAGAGCUCGUAGGCGGUUUGUCGCGUCUGCUGUGAAAACUCGGGGCUUAACUCCGGGCCUGCAGUGGGUACGGGCAGACUAGAGUGCGGUAGGGGAGACUGGAAUUCCUGGUGUAGCGGUGAAAUGCGCAGAUAUCAGGAGGACACCAAUGGCGAAGGCAGCUCGCUGGGACGGUAACUGACGCUGGAGACGCGAAAGCGUGGGGAGCAAACAGGAUAGAAACCCCUGGGUAGUCCAAGCAC
rnacentral:rRNA from 1 species